UCUUGGUUUAAAAAAGCGCGCAUCAGGCGUGCCUGAUGCGUGAUGCGACCGUUGCGAUGGUCAAAACGCAUCGGGCAGCCUGAUGCGGUAGGGGGUACAUAAUGCGGUCUGAUGCGAUUCGAUGCGGCUGAUGCGGUCUGAUGCGGGCCGAUGCGUUUAAUAAGAUUUUUUUUAGGCUUUUAAUUGGACUAGUUUAUGUUUCUAACUUAAUUGCUGGAAUGGGCUUAAAAAGCCAUAUUCAAUUGACCUAAAUCUCUAAUAAAAUAUCACCUGGUUGCUGCUUUCCUCCAUCGAGCUUUCCCCCCUGCUAUUGAAGAUCUGUCUGCUGAGUGCUGCCAUUGAAGAAACUUGAAGUAUGGAACCAACUCCUAGUGCUACCUCAAUGGGUUCAAAUACAAACACAACUAACAAAUCAACUCAUCCAGCUAGGAAAUAUUCUACGCAAAAGCCUAGCAAUAGAAACAAUUUUCGUUGCCAUUUUUGUCCCAAAGUAGUGAAGGGUGGUGUUUAUCGAAUGAAAUGGCAUUUCAUUGGUGGUUUGCCGGAUGUUACUAGUUGCCCAAAUUGUCCAGAGCAUGUAAAGGAAGAGGUGAGGUCUUUCAUGCAAAAAAAAAA